UUCAAUGGAGGUGGUCAAACACUUGUUGUAUAUAACUCUCUGUAGAUUACUCAAACAAGCGCUGAUAAUAUGAGACAUCAUGAUAACAAGUCCUUCAAACAAGCUUUUACUCAUCUGGUAAUUUCUGCUUUCUUCAUUUAGCAAAAGAGUUUUACUUAUUCUAUACAUGGAGUUUGCAGCCAGUACCUUAAUGGGCCAUUUUGAAGCGCUUUCUUUCCAACAUCCAUUUACAGUUGGCCUAUUGAAUUCUAAAAGCCUAUUCUUUGCAUUGUCAGCAAGCUCUUCGAGUGUGUCCUUUGGACUUCUCCUUUGGAGGGCCAGUUUGUGGAGGUCAACAUCAAGCCAUUUGUGAUAGAGAUCGACUCCCAGCCACACAAAAUCUGCAGUCCUUGUGAUGUUUCUCAAUU
rnacentral:lncRNA from 1 species